rnacentral:tRNA from 1 species
AGAAAUGUAGUUUAAAGUUAAAAUAGCGAGCUAGUAUCUCGAAGAUGCAAGUGAAAAUCUUGUCAUUUCUU